AUUGAACGCUGGCGGCAGGCCUAACACAUGCAAGUCGAGCGGAUGAAGAGAGCUUGCUCUNUNAUUCAGCGGCGGACGGGUGAGUAAUGCCUAGGAAUCUGCCUGGUAGUGGGGGACAACGUUUCGAAAGGAACGCUAAUACCGCAUACGUCCUACGGGAGAAAGCAGGGGACCUUCGGGCCUUGCGCUAUCAGAUGAGCCUAGGUCGGAUUAGCUAGUUGGUGAGGUAAUGGCUCACCAAGGCGACGAUCCGUAACUGGUCUGAGAGGAUGAUCAGUCACACUGGAAAUGAGACACGGUCCAGACUCCUACGGGAGGCAGCAGUGGGGAAUAUUGGACAAUNGGNGAAAGCNUGAUCCANCCAUGCCGCGUGUGUGAAGAAGGUCUUCGGAUUGUAAAGCACUUUAAGUUGGGAGGAAGGGCAGUAAAUUAAUAC
rnacentral:rRNA from 1 species